CUAGGUCUGGCAUUGUCUUCAUACACAGGUAUUAAUAUAAAUUUCAUUUUCAAACCAAUUUUGGUUUUAAAAGUUCAGACUUUUCUAUUUCUUGGUAGCCUUGCUAAAAUAUUUGUCUGUUUUUCUUAGCUAUAUUAACAGAGUUGUUCAAAAUAUUCUUUUAUGAUACUGUUGUAGUCAGGGUUGCAAGGAGAACAAUUAUAUUUAGGACACGUAAUUUACAGUAUUAUUUUAUGAUGGUCUUCCAAGGAGUCAAACUCAAAGAAAGUACGGGAAAUCCGCCCAGAAAACUUAAGAACCUAGAAAAUCCACUCGAGGGCCUGGAUCCCAUGGCAAUAACCUGCCUGAGUUCAACUGAAAAUCUAGAAUUUACAACAAUGACUCAUGCAAGUCUAUUUCAUGAAUCUGUGCUGGGAAGGUCCAAAGGUCAGCAGUGGAAGCUAGAAAGUCUAUGCCAACGGGGUGAAGGAUCUGUGCCAGCAGGUCAAGGGUCUGUACUUGAAUCAAGAAGCAACGCUCAAAAUAAGGACCAGGGCUCUUCCACAGUGAACCACAGCCAUUCUCAGCAACAAGGUCCCAAGCUCCUCCGAUGAAAACAGCCAAGUCCAUGUCAAGGGAGCCAGCAUGACAAGCUCCUCUGGGAGAACCAAUAGCUUCAAACAAUACUACCAUUUAGGAGAAUCAACGCUAUGCUCUUCCUCUCCACAUCUUCUUUUUAUGUUGGCAACUUUCCUCAGGCAUAAAGGCUUCAUAAAGGAAACUUAUGAAGACACUUCAGAGGAACCCCACAGGUUGGCACUUGAGCCAUGAAGAAUCACAACUUGAUUAGGUCUGAAAGUGGAUUUUACUGCUGGAAGCAGGGAAGCCUCUCAGCAAGAUCAUCAGCCUACUUCUCUCAUUGCCUACAUGAGGAUGCGAUGGAGACUGCCUCACCAAUUUGUUAUUUUCGUCUCUUAAUGUUUCCUGAUCUCUGCACUUCAUUUCCGUGUCCUUGAUUCCAAUUUGCUAACUGUAAUCAAACCCCACCUUGGAAAUGUCAGCCUUGAGCUGUAGUGCCAUCACUCCAACAGCUGCCUUUCUGGGCUCUCCUGCCGCUUCAUAGUGCGGGGUGUGUGCUAGACGUGUGAUUGAAUUACCAGAGUCCUUUGCAUCAAACAAAUGCUACCAAAUACUGUUACAAAAACUGUAGUAAUUAUUUGAUCUAUUUACUUUGUUUCUCUGAAUACAAGUGAAGAAAACCCUAACUUAUCCAGUUGAGUUUGAAAAGAAGAAAAUACUUGUAAAUGGAAGAAUACUUGUCAUUUCUGACAGAUUCAGAAGUGUCAUGCACUCUGCCACACGUGCUGAUUGAUGUUAUUACCCUGACUCUCCAUGUGUUUGUAAUUUGCACUGAGUCUCUCCUAAGACAGAAUCUGUAUCACAUUACAGUGCCACUCUGCCUUGAUGCGAGCUGAGUAUGAACCAAAACCUCUAAAAACUGUAAGCUAAAUAAACUGUACAAAACAAGUUAUCUGUGCAAUGUGUUUUCUCCAUUUGUGGAAGGAUCAGCUAUCAAUAUCGCAUCAAACCUGUCUACAAUGCCCAGUCAAGAAAUUCAUAAAUCUCAGCUCCUCGAGAAGUUCAUGAUUCUCCUUGAAAUUCUACCUCAGGACCACAUACUAAUUCAAACAUAUUCCAGUUGGCACUUCUGUUUCUACCAAGGAAAUCGAAAAAUUGGUUUGGAAAAAUUGAUUUGGAUGACUUCUUUCCCAUCUUGCAAACCACUUGAAAAUAAAAGAUAUUUUCUAUGAUGUAUCCCCCUGAAGACAUGGGAAGAAAUAUCUUUAAGGUGUUCAGAGAACUUAAUAAACUUGAUCAACAGACUCACUUGGUCAGAAAUAAAAAAAUUUUCAAAUUCA